rnacentral:rRNA from 1 species
UGGGGAAUAUUGCGCAAUGGCCGAAAGGCUGACGCAGCGACGCCGCGUGUGGGAGGAAGCCCUUCGGGGUGUAAACCACUGUCGGGGGGGACGAAUCGCGGACGGGUGAAUAACCCGGACGCUUGACGGUACCUCCAAAGGAAGCACCGGCUAACUCCGUGCCAGCAGCCGCGGUAAGACGGAGGGUGCAAGCGUUGUUCGGAAUUACUGGGCGUAAAGCGCGGGCAGGUGGCUCUUUAAGUCCUUUGUGAAAUUCCGGAGCUCAACUCCGGAUGUGCAUAGGAUACUGGAGAGCUGGAGACUGGUAGAGGCGAGCGGAAUUCCUGGUGUAGCGGUGGAAUGCGUAGAUAUCAGGAAGAACACCGGUGGCGAAGGCGGCUCGCUGGGCCAGUUCUGACACUCAUCCGCGAAAGCGUGGGGAGCAAACAGG